AAACCGGAGCUAAUACCGGAUAAUAUUUUGAACCGCAUGGUUCAAAAGUGGAAGACGGUCUUGCUGUCACUUAUAGAUGGAUCCGCGCUGCAUUAGCUAGUUGGUAAGGUAACGGCUUACCAAGGCAACGAUGCAUAGCCGACCUGAGAGGGUGAUCGGCCACACUGGAACUGAGACACGGUCCAG
rnacentral:rRNA from 1 species